rnacentral:rRNA from 1 species
CCUACGGGUGGCUGCAGUGAGGAAUAUUGGUCAAUGGACGAGAGUCUGAACCAGCCAAGUCGCGUGAAGGAUGACUGCCCUAUGGGUUGUAAACUUCUUUUAUAUGGGAAUAAAAUGUUCCACGUGUGGGAUUUUGUAUGUACCAUAUGAAUAAGGAUCGGCCAACUCCGUGCCAGCAGCCGCGGUAAUACGGAGGAUCCGAGCGUUAUCCGGAUUUAUUGGGUUUAAAGGGAGCGUAGGUGGAUUGUUAAGUCAGUUGUGAAAGUUUGCGGCUCAACCGUAAAAUUGCAGUUGAAACUGGCAGUCUUGAGUACAGGAGAGGUGGGCGGAAUUCGUGGUGUAGCGGUGAAAUGCUUAGAUAUCACGAAGAACUCCGAUUGCGAAGGCAGUUCACUGGACUGCAACUGACACUGAGGCUCGAAAGUGUGGGUAUCAAACAGGAUUAGAUACCCUUGUAGUC